rnacentral:rRNA from 1 species
UACAGAGGGGGCGAGCGUUGUUCGGAAUUACUGGGCGUAAAGGGCGCGUAGGCGGCCAACUAAGUCGGACGUGAAAUCCCCUGGCUCAACCAGGGAACUGCGUCCGAUACUGAUUGGCUUGAAUCCGGGAGAGGGAUGUGGAAUUCCAGGUGUAGCGGUGAAAUGCGUAGAUAUCUGGAGGAACACCGGUGGCGAAGGCGGCAUCCUGGACCGGUACUGACGCUGAGGUGCGAAAGCGUGGGGAGCGAACAGG